GCAUAUCAUAGCGAGAAAAGAAACUAACAAGGAUUCCCUAGUAACUGCGAGUGAAGAGGGAAAAGCUCAAAUUUAAAAUCUGGCGGGCUCUGUCCGUCCGAGUUGUAAUCUGGAGAAGCGUUUUCCGCGUCGGACCGUGCAUAAGUCUCCUGGAACGGAGCGUCAUAGAGGGUGAGAAUCCCGUCCAUGGCACGGACCGCCGAUGCUUUGUGAUACGUUUUCAAAGAGUCGAGUUGUUUGGGAAUGCAGCUCAAAAUGGGUGGUAAAUUCCAUCUAAAGCUAAAUAUUGGCGAGAGACCGAUAGCGAACAAGUACCGUGAGGGAAAGAUGAAAAGCACUUUGGAAAGAGAGUUAAACAGUACGUGAAAUUGUUGAAAGGGAAACGCUUGAAGUCAGUCGCGUCCGACGGAACUCAGCCUUGCUUCGGCCUGGUGUACUUUCUGUCGGACGGGUCAACAUCAGUUUUGACCGGUGGAGAAAGGUAGGGGGAAUGUAGCGCUGUUUCGGCGGCGUGUUAUAGCCCCUUGCUGUAUGCAUCGGUUGGGACUGAGGACCGCAGCACGCCUUUUUGGCCGGGGGUUCGCCCCACGUACCGUGCUUAGGAUGUUGGCAUAAUGGCUUUAAGCGACCCGUCUUGAAACACGGACCAAGGAGUCCAACAUGCUUGCGAGUGUUCGGGUGGAAAACCCUUGCGCGUAAUGAAAGUAACAGUUGGGAACCUCCGCAAGGGGGGUGCACCGACGCCCGGCCCUGAAGUUCUCUGACGGUGCUGCGGUAGAGCAAGUAUGCUGGGACCCGAAAGAUGGUGAACUAUGCCUGAAUAGGGCGAAGCCAGAGGAAACUCUGGUGGAGGCUCGUAGCGAUUCUGACGUGCAAAUCGAUCGUCAAAUUUGGGUAUAGGGGCGAAAGACUAAUCCGAACCAUCUAGUAGCUGGGUCUGCCGA
rnacentral:rRNA from 1 species